AAAACAGAGAUUAUUUCAGGGAGGAUGAUUUCGUUUUGCUUGGGGAAGGCAAGUAGGAGUACUCAUGAUCCUGGAUCACUUGGAUCUAGAAAGGCCUUGAGAUUUUGAAGUUGCAUUCAGUUCCAGAUUCUCGUUCAUCUUUAUUCAGAGUGUGGCCCAUCCAAAGCCAGGCCAGGACCUUUCUCCUUUGUAGGCCCUGAACUCCUGAUUCCAGCUUUGGUCCCCUUUUCUUGUGAGUCUUUUGAAAGCUCUGCUCAAGUCUGAAUUUUGGAAUUGCCUCGUCAGCAGAUGACCCUCUGGGAAAAGCAGCCCCAAAUGCUAGAAUUACCUGUGGCCAUGUUGCACAACUCCAGGAGUCACGGGUCUCAUACAAGAGGAUCAUUUAUGAGCAGACUUCCAUCUGUACUACUUUCACUGGGAGACUGAGUCUUACUAAAGACCUGGAAGACUCAGGGUCCUGAACAGAAGUUAGCCGAGCAAUGGACUAGAUCUCUAUAACGUACUCUUGACAACACUUCCCUAAGGCUCAUGGGAAGCAAGUCUUGGACCCACCACACAAA